UCGCUCAGGUCUCUCCUCAUUAAACACGAAUUAAUCUUUCGCCUUUUACUAAAGAUUACCGUGGGGAGGGACACUCCAAUGAGCCUAUAGGCCAAUUUUUGCAAGGCCCUACCCGUUUGGGUGGGG
rnacentral:snRNA from 1 species